GGAAUAAACCUGGCCUGGAAACAUCACCUCUCCUGGGCUCCAUUUUAUCAUUGCUGAGCUGGAAAGAGGGAGCAAUUGUCAGAUCCCUUGCUGGCCACUGUGGGUGAACCCCAGAUCAUUAACCCUGGACCUCAAAGGUGGUGUGUGUAUAUUAGGUGAACCUGGGAGAAAUCUCCUCUAACAGCAAGUGGAAUGUAAGGGUGCUCAGGGCAAGAGAACUGGGAGAACUCAUCAGACUAUGAACAGCCAGCCAAAGGGGGCAUUGCUCGCCUCUGAGCCCCUGGCCUGGGCUGUGACUGACCUACAGAGACCACUGGAUAUCCUUCCUCAUCUAAACAGGAUAAAAUGACUGCAUUUGAAUUUCACUCACCCGAGAUGGUUCCUCCCCUCUGCCUGCAAUGACCCUGGAUUCUGGCUCACUUCUGGCUUCUUACUGAACACGUCACAGCUAAGACUAAGCACCAUGUAUCAGCUUCCACUGAUCCUGAAAGAAAAUACUGUUUGAAAAAAGCUUCUUUCAUGCACAGCUUCAAGAAAAUCAGAACACCAUUCACUUCUCAAACCACCCAUAAGAUAUCUAACUUCACAAAAAUAAAUCUUCUUUAUGGCACACCGAAGAUUUUCUCUCUGAAGUUCCCAUGAGCGGUGUUAUUUAUCUAUAAAGAAGUCUCCUCCAAGAAAGCAGCAACAGCGAGCUCAUGGUGCAGCCUUUCUUCCAGAACAGAGGGGCUCGAUUCUCACUGGCAUUAUUAGGCAGACUUCAUGAGACUUUGAAGUGGCCGCUGUACCAAAUGGAAACAGAGCAUCUGGUUUCCCAUCUCAAGGACAAUCCUUUGACAUGAAAAUUGUCAUCCCCUUUUUACAGGAUUUGAAGGAAGAAUGGAUCCAAGAGCAAAAAGGCAGCUCCACCUAACCCUGGGAAGGACCGUUCUGAAGCCUGGAAGUCUGACAUCAGGAUGCUGGCAUGGUCAGGUCCUGGUGAGGGUCCUCUUCUGGAUUGCAGACUGUCAUCUUUUCCUUGUAACCUCACAUGGUGGUGAGCAGAGAGAGGAGGCAAGCUCUCUCAUGACUGUUACAAAGGCACUAAUCCCAUUCCUGAGGGCUCCAUCCAUAUGACCUCAUCUAAUUCUAAUUACCCCCCAAAGGCCCCACCUUCUAAUACUAUCACAUUGUGGGGGUAGGCUUUCAACAUAUGAAUUAUGGGGAACAUAAAAUUCGGUCCAUAGGUGGAGGGCAUCCAGGAAUAUUAAAAUACAGCAAGCAAGGUUUGAUCACUUCACCCCUAGCACACUACUGGACAAAGAAUAGGUGCUCAGAGAAUGGCUGUUAAGGUAAAUCAAGUUAUUCUUUUCUGUAAAUGGUGUAGUUAUAUAUCUACAAAUUGAGUAAUUUGUGUGAUGAUCUAGAGGCAGAUCAUAUUUCACUGUCAAUUUCCUUCAAAAUAUGUUAAUAAAUAUUCUUAGCCAAUAGGCCAUUUCCAGAAGAAUGGAUUUAUAUCACCAAAAAGCCACCAAUGGUGCAAAAUUACUGAAUUUUUACUAUCACCAAGGAAGAGGGUUUUAAUUUCCCAAACUGGAAAUACUAAGGAAAAAAAACCUCUUUCAAGGCAUUUUUGGUAUGGAGAGAAUUUCAAGAAAUUGUCAAAUAGGGUAAAGGUGGGAGGAGUCCUACCUAAGACUCACUUCCUGUAAUUCAUACAGUUCCCAGACUUUCCUCUCCUGCAGACACCCGCAGGGCAGCUGCUUGCAUUUGAAGCCUGCCGGCUUCCACGAAAUGCUCCUGGCUAUGCUCUGUGGCCGGGUGUCCCACUCUGACAGGUCAGUGUACAAAAGCUGUGAGCAAACAAUGGGGCCUUUGCUUUUGCUUUCAAGCUGUCUGGGGGAAAAUGCUGACGUGUCUUGCUACCCGUUCCUGUCUCUGUCUUCCUGUUGAUCUGUGUGUGCUUUUAUAACCUCCUCACUUAUGACUCAUUCCACUUCAUCCCAAAAGAAUAAUGGAAAGGAAUAACGAAUUCAGACAACCUGUUAGUACCAGUUCAGGUGAACCUUAAGUAAGGCAGCCCAGAGUCAAAAUUCUGGAUUUAAAAAGAUGAUGGACAAAUUAUGGGGUGAUUGUUUACACUAAAAACAGUUUUGGAACACAGAAGGAUAAAGCUGUGAUGGAGUCUUAGAAAUCAUUCAUUGCCCUCACCUCUGAUUCCAUAGAUGAGAAAAUCAAGCCCACAGAGGAAAAAUGACCAGGCCAAUGACCUCAUUCCUAACUCAUACUUUUCAGAAAGGAAAGUUUUGUCACAGGAAUUUUCAUUUUUUAGAGCAAGCAAAAUAUGAUUUCAUUUGAAAAUAUUUAUCUUAUAAACACAUUCCUGGGAAAAUACCUAUGUACAGUGAAGGACCAUGGCUCAUGAAAAAGAGUGUGAAUUUGUGUGGUACCAUAUUUAUAUAUGGGGUUCUAAACCCUAAAAUAAUGGACCCUAUUCCACAUGUAGAGCAGUUUUCAUACUUUCUAUUAACAACUUAUGUUUGAGAUAAAUACAUAUUAUGAACAGAACCACCCAAAUAGGCAAUUAAUGAACAUUUUGGGGUUAUAUAUUGACAUAAAUAUAUUUUUAAACCUUGAGAGGAGACAAAGUAUUAACAAAGUCAAGGUCACCUCAUUUGUUCUUUUUUUUUUUAAUUUAUUGUUUGCUGCAUUGGGUCUUCGUUGCUGCGCACGGGCUUUCUCGAGUUGCGGUGAGCAGGGGCUACUCUUCGUUGUGGUGCACGGGCUUCUUGUUGCAGUGGCUUCUCUUGUGGCAGAGCAUGGGCUCUAGGCAUGUGGGCUUCAAUAGAUGUCCCACGUGGGCUCAGUAGUUGUGGCUUGCGGGCUCUAGAGCGCAGGCUCAGUAGUUGUGGCGCACGGACUUAGUUGCUCCGCGGCAUGUGGGACCUUCCCGGACCAGGGCUCGAACCCAUGUCCCCUGCAUUGGCAGGCGGAUUCUUAACCACUGUGCCACCAGGGAAGCCCUACCUCAUUUGUUCUUGGUAACCUUGAUGGGCAUCCUCUCAGCUGCCUUCUUAACACUUUCUAGCAUCAUCCCUACAACUUGCCUGUGAUUUUUCAGGUAGCAGCUGUGUGAGCAACUAGUCACACGCAUGUCCACAGGCUUGUGUGCACGCACACACACACACACACGAUGCUUCUAGGAACAAAAGCUGGCACAGAACAUUAACUCAAUUCCAUAGAAAGGAAAAUGCUUUUCUUUCUUUCUUUUUUAAACCUUGGUGCAGUCACCCUUCUUAGGGGCACGCUGUCAGUCUGGGCUUUUGUCCUGCCCGGCUGCUGAUUUUUUAAUGCAUGCUGAAAGUGCCACUCCUGCAAACGCACUCCAUGGAGGCCAUUUUGGCUUGCUGCCACCUGCCUUCCCUGGAUUAAGAAGCGCGGAUCCAUUGCUAUUAUGGAGCCUGAAGCAGAGCCAAGAAGAAAUCUCAGAGGGCCCUCUCCCCAGACAUAUGCGAGUAGAAUAAAAAUGAGACACAAAUGAUGGCACGAAGCCUCCAGCACUCCUGGGGCAAAGUGGGGGGCUGUGUUGUAGGCUAGGAGGAUGUUCUGGUUCUUGGGAGAGAAAUGAAAUGAAAACAUGUUAUUCUUUACAUAUGAAGUUCCUUCAGACCUCUUAUCAACAGGGUGGGCCUUUUUCUGUUGUUUACUCUCAGAGAGGGACUUGGAAUUCCUUAUAGCAAACGUACACAUUCCAGGCUGUCAGGGCUGAGUUGAGAAGUGUCUCCAUGACUUUCUAGUUACCCAGGGUGCAUAUCCUGCUAAUCAGGUAACAGAAGGAGCAAUCAAAUACAUUCAUUUAUACUAAAGUGUUAGAGACUUGAUGUGUUACUCCUCCCAGAGGUACCUACACUCCAGAGGUAGCUGCCUUCCAGAGGCCCGUGGAGAGCAAACAAUAUUUAACCUAAAGGAAUAUACAGAACUAAUGGUAGAAGUUCAGGCAUGAGCACUUUUAAAUUGCCCUACCCAGGAAACCAUCUAUCAAUAUAAGGGUGGAUCUAAAUAUAUGUCUGAUGCGGUGACAGGAAAAAAAGGGAGUGUCAUACAUAGCAAACCUAGAAGGUUAAGUCGUGACUUCUGCUAUUUUUUUCUUCCUCCUUCCCUUACCAAUCAUUCUAGCCCUCGUAAUGGUUCCUGCAACUUCACACGUCCAAUGCCUUUGCCCCAUGACUAAACCAGUUCUGAAGACGCAGCAAAGCAUGUCACAUGUUUUAUUAGUAAAAAUAAAUUCAGUGCUGAGUUCAGUGCACAGUGAAAUUAGGCGUCAGAAACAAUGGCCCAGAAUAGAAUAAAAUAGCAAAAGGUUCAGGGGAAAAUGUCAGGCUACACAAGAGCUAUAUGAAUAACACGCAAAGCUGCAGGAAUCACUAAUGUUUUUAUGAGAAAGAAGGAUACUUAAGCUAUGAUGCUUGAUUGUUUUUUCCUUUUAUUAUGAGAGUAAAAAGUGAAAAACAAUCCAUUUGGUUGUAUCAGGGUCAGAGAAUUUACCAGAUAUUUGCUGACCAACAGCCUCUCAGGGUCUGUCAUUCCUUCAGUUCCCUGCAUCAUCACCUUUUACUGUGCUUUGGCUCCAGCAAGACACAAUCAGAGCGAUUCUACUUCAGUGCAGUGCCGGGGCGGGUGGAGUGGUCCACCCCAGAGGCCCAUCCAGGGGUUCAUGGCCUGGAGAACACUUAAAAAACAACAAUAAAACCAGCUAAAAAGCCAGUCUGCUUUCUAUUAUCACCAUGGCAAGCAAUUCUAAACAAUGUCAGUAAUAAACUGCUCUCUCUUCACCAAAAAAAAAUCUUUUGUUGGUCUAGUUUCCAAACAAUUGCUCUUAAGUUUUAACAACAUAAAUGUAAGCUUCAGUUUAGCACAUUUUUAUUGCUUUUCCUUUAGUAAACAUAUUCUACAUGGAAGUUGAUUCAGAGAAUUAACUCUGUGCAUUUAUUUUGAGAGUGAGUACAUAAGAAAGCUUGCUUUGGGCACAAGUGUCCAGCCUGUCUGUCCUUCAAAUUCCUGCAUUCAAACAAUUGAUUCACAAUAAAUAACGAUAGCACAGUGAUUGUAAAGACAAACAGAACUUGAGUUACUUCAAUUCUGUCAUUCUCUUUGACCACUUGGAGUUUUUAUUGUGUUUAAAGUUUCUGGGGUUUAUUGUGAAAUGGGAUUUUUAUGCAUUUCUCCCAAAUGUAGCCUUAUGUUGAAGACUUCCUAUUUAUUUAAACUGUUGUUCAUGUGAAAGAAACCUUCCAAAAUUAAAAUUUCUAAUGAAAAGUAUUCUUUGAUCAAAAGUGGAUCGACACAUCAUGAAUAUGGGAAGAAAAACAAGUUUGACAAAGUCACUGACAAAUUUGUAGAAGUUAAUUGCAAAAACAGACACUGUAACAUUAUUAUUCAUUACUGUAAAAGACCAAUAGGGCAAAGACGAGCAGAAGACUGAACCUUCAGGACCUGCCUACCCACCUGAGUGAAGCUGGGGAGGGAAUGGGAGUGAGGAUUCAGCUAUAGCACAAGCCCUGCUUGGACUCUCAGACCCCUGUGUCAAGCCAUGUCCAGCCAGGAGCACUCAGUGGCUUUCCUCUCUGGAGAUCUACCAUCUCUUCUAAUAGGUGUCAUGAAUGCGUUAAUUCCCCGGGAAGGGAGGAAGGAUUGCUGGGCUGAAGGCAUGGCCAAGGCAGGAGUGUAGGGUGGAGGCGAGCUUCCCCAGAGCCUGAGUGAUGCCCAAGGGACACUUGCAGCAGCCCUGGAUGGAAGGAGUUAUCUCCCUGUUUUGCAAAGUCAGCUCAGAGAAAGGAAAUGACUUGUCCCAGGUCAUGCAACUAGAACACGACAGAGUUGACCCACUUGCCUCCAGAGUCCUUGUUCUUAACUGUUACAUCGCAUCUCCUCUCUUCAAUAAGAUGAAUUCACGUGGUAUUUAUAAACAUGGAAGAA